CCUACGGGUGGCAGCAGUGGGGAAUAUUGGGCAAUGGGCGCAAGCCUGACCCAGCAACGCCGCGUGAAGGAAGAAGGCUUUCGGGUUGUAAACUUCUUUUCUGAGGGACGAAGAAAGUGACGGUACCUCAGGAAUAAGCCACGGCUAACUACGUGCAAGCACCAGCGGGAAUCCGUAGGCGGCAAGCGUAAUCCGGAUUUAUUGGGUGUAAGGGGCGUGUAGGCGGGAAAGCAAGUCAGAUGUGAAAACUCAGGGCUCAACCCUGAGCCUGCAUUUGAAACUGUUUGUCUUGAGUGCUGGAGAGGCAAGCGGAAUUCCGGGUGUAGCGGUGAAAUGCGUAGAUAUAGGGAGGAACACCAGUGGCGAAGGCGGAUUGCUGGACAGUAACUGACGCUGAGGCGCGAAAGCGUGGGGAGCAAACAGGAUUAGAUACCCGGGUAGUC
rnacentral:rRNA from 1 species